rnacentral:rRNA from 1 species
CGGACGGGUGAGUAAUGUCUGGGAAACUGCCUGAUGGAGGGGGAUAACUACUGGAAACGGUGGCUAAUACCGCAUAACGUCGCAAGACCAAAGAGGGGGACCUUCGGGCCUCUUGCCAUCGGAUGUGCCCAGAUGGGAUUAGCUAGUAGGUGGGGUAACGGCUCACCUAGGCGACGAUCCCUAGCUGGUCUGAGAGGAUGACCAGCCACACUGGAACUGAGACACGGUCCAG